rnacentral:rRNA from 1 species
AUCGAACUUCGAAUCUCGAGGAUAGUGGCGGACGGGUGAGUAACGCGUGGGCAAUCUGCCCGUAGGUGGGGGAUAACACCGUGAAAACGGUGCUAAUACCGCAUAACAUUAUUGGUAUGCAUGUACUGAUAAUCAAAGGAGAAAUCCGCUUACGGAUGAGCCCGCGUCUGAUUAGCUAGUUGGUAGGGUAACGGCCUACCAAGGCGACGAUCAGUAGCCGGCCUGAGAGGGUGACCGGCCACACUGGAACUGAGACACGGUCCAGACUCCUACGGGAGGCAGCAGUGGGGAAUCUUCCGCAAUGGGCGAAAGCCUGACGGAGCAACGCCGCGUGAGUGAUGAAGGCCUUCGGGUUGUAAAACUCUGUCUUCAGGGAAGAAAAAAAUGACGGUACCUGAGGAGGAAGCCACGGCUAACUACGUGCCAGCAGCCGCGGUAAUACGUAGGUGGCAAGCGUUGUCCGGAAUUACUGGGCGUAAAGAGCGCGUAGGCGGGGAUUUAAGUCAGGAGUGAAAACUACCGGCUCAACCGGUAGCCUGCUCUUGAAACUGAAUUUCUUGAGGGUAUGAGAGGAAAGCGGAAUUCCCAGUGUAGCGGUGAAAUGCGUAGAUAUUGGGAGGAACACCAGUGGCGAAGGCGGCUUUCUGGCAUACAACUGACGCUGAGGCGCGAAAGCGUGGGGAGCAAACGGGAUUAGAUACCCCGGUAGUCCACGCCGUAAACGAUGGGCACUAGGUGUAGGAGGUAUCGACCCCUUCUGUGCCGUAGUUAACACAAUAAGUGCCCCGCCUGGAGA